rnacentral:rRNA from 1 species
GGUAGCCGGCCUGAGAGGGNGACCGGCCACACUGGGACUGAGACACGGCCCAGACUCCUACGGGAGGCAGCAGUGGGGAAUAUUGCGCAAUGGGCGAAAGCCUGAYGCAGCRACGCCGCGUGAGGGAUGACGGCCUUCGGGUUGUAAACCUCUUUCAGCAGGGANGAAGCGAAAGUGACKGUACCUGCAGAAGAAGCGCCGGCUAACUACGUGCCAGCAGCCGCGGUAAUACGUAGGGCGCAAGCGUUGUCCGGAWUUAUUGGGCGUAAAGAGYUCGUAGGCGGUYUGUCGCGUCGGANGUGAAAACCCGGAGCUCAACUCCGGNNCUGCUNUNGAUACGGGCAGACUNGAGUGNUGCAGGGGAGACUGGAAUUCC